rnacentral:rRNA from 1 species
CCUACGGGUGGCAGCAGUGAGGAAUAUUGGUCAAUGGACGAGAGUCUGAACCAGCCAAGUAGCGUGAAGGAUGACUGCCCUAUGGGUUGUAAACUUCUUUUAUAAAGGAAUAAAACGAGGCACGUGUGCCUUUUUGCAUGUACUUUAUGAAUAAGGAUCGGCUAACUCCGUGCCAGCAGCCGCGGUAAUACGGCGGAUCCGAGCGUUAUCCGGAUUUAUUGGGUGUAAAGGGAGCGUAGAUGGGUUGUUAAGUCAGUUGUGAAAGUUUGCGGCUCAACCGUAAAAUUGCAAUUGAUACUGGCAGUCUUGAGUACAGUAGAGGUAGGCGGAAUUCGUGGUGUAGCGGUGAAAUGCUUAGAUAUCACGAAGAACCCCGAUUGCGAAGGCAGCUUACUAAACUGUGACUGACAUUGAUGCUCGAAAGCGUGGGUAUCGAACAGGAUUAGAUACCCCUGUAGUC